AGUUCAAUUUAUGCAUAAGUUAGGAAAUGUGGUUAUUUUAGUAUUUUUUUUAAAAAUAAUUAUUUAAGAAUUUAAUUUGAAAAAUAUGAUUAUUUAAAAAAAAUUCUAAAAUACUUGUUAUAUUUUAAAUAACUGUUUUAUGAAAUUCAGUUUUGAAAAUUAAAAAAAAAUAAAAAUUAAGUUGAAACAAACAGGCCAAUACAUAGCUCUCUGUAAUCUAAUGGGACAUGCAGAGUAUUGAUACUAUUUCUUUGGUCUUGACUGGUAAGAUGAUAGGUUGCAA
rnacentral:lncRNA from 1 species